CCAUGGGCCGCACCGGAAGCGGCUGCCAUGGGCCCAGCCUAAGCCUUUUGGAGUUGAAAAAGGUCACUUCAGGAACCUUUCAAGGUUCAACCCAUCACUGGAGAGAGAGGAUAUAAGGACAACUCAUUCGAAGAACACUUUGGAGAGGUCAAAUACCGAAAAGAAAGUACAUUUGAUUUACUGGAUAAAGAACACUGUUUGAAGAUCAGGUUUCAACCAAAGUGAUAAAUAAAUGGAUGCUGAGCACACAAACCUCAAAUAUCACCCCUUAAGAACACUGGAGAGAGAUCCCUGCCCAUAACGAGCUCAUAGUCUAGAGGGACAAUGGUUAAUUCUUUGCCUUAGUCCCAGCCAAGCUACAGGUUAGAAGCCCUGCUUCACGGGGUUUGAUCUAAGGAUCAGCCCACAUUAGGAUCUGGUAUGGUACCUCAACACUGGAAAAAUGAUUUGUUGAGAGGCUGAGGGAGAACAGAAAUCAGUCAAGAUAGGUUCAAGUACAAUUCCUAUCGACAUCUAUGUUCAGUAGCACUAUAUGGUUGCUCUGCUGAAAGAUAGUAGCCAUUGAUGGAUGUGAUCAGGUAUUAGCCAGAGUCUGGGAGAAUGAAGUGGUUAGGGUCUAAAGUUUAAGAUAUUUAAGAUUCAAGAAGUAUUUAAUAGCUGAAUUUUUUGUUAAUAGAUGCAGGUCUUCUGAUCUACCUUUCUACAGUCUGUUCAGAACAAUCUUUUUGAUUGCCACUAUGUCUUCCUCCUCAACCCCUCACUUCCAACAGUUCUCAAGAGGGACACAGCAGAGAAAACCCAGUUAACUGAGCCUUUGAUCAGGUCAGCAAAAUGUUUCCUACUUGAGAAUUAAACGGGCUCUCCUGAA